rnacentral:tRNA from 1 species
UGGAUCACCUCCUAACAGGGAGACAAACAACGAUUUUGAUGUCUGAGUUUUUUUAUUCUUAGGCCAAAAUCCUGUCACCUUAGGUCGAUCGGUACCUCAACUUUGAAGCUAAGAGUAUUCAGUAAUGGAUAUCUGCUUAGUAGAAAUUUUUAGUUCCUAAACUUUGUCUAGUUCACAACCCAUUAGGGAUGAGACUCCUGGGCCAUUAGCUCAGGUGGUUAGAGCGCACCCCUGAUAAGGGUGAGGUCCCUGGUUCAAGUCCAGGAUGGCCCAUUCGGUGUAGGGGGUUUAGCUCAGUUGGUAGAGCGCCUGCUUUGCAAGCAGGAUGUCAGGAGUUCGAGUCUCCUAACCUCCACUGACUACCAAAAUCCCCAUCUCCAAAACCUGGAGUAUGAACUCGUAUGGAUUGUGAUUUAGAUGUGUCCGCUAGAUGACCCUAGCUUCUUGUCAUUUUAAGGCAUGGAAAAAAUUCCAUGAAAUUUAAUUGAUAGGAUGCUGGGCUCGAUUCAAUGUAUUGAGAGAUCAACGCAUUGUUUUGAUGUCUGGUCGAACCUUGACAACUGCAUAGUAAGUCUGGAAAGAAUAAAGCAUCUUUAUGGAUGCAUCAUUCUUGAGUGUUAAUUCACGAUGGAGUGGUGUUAAUUCUAAAGCAAGAGCCGAGACUCCAGCAUGUUCUUUCAAAUGUGUCGAGCAUUUGAGAGUUUGAUUUUAAUUUCUAUUUUUAGAAGUUAGAAGAAUCUGUUUCAACGACAGCAAGCGUGUUGGAGAUACAUUGGUCAAGCUACAAAGGGCUCACGGCGGAUACCUUGGCACACAGAGGCGAUGAAGG